UCCGUAGGUGAACCUGCGGAAGGAUCAUUACCGAGUGCAGGUCUGCCCCCGGGCAGGCCUAACCUCCCACCCGUGAAUACCUGACCAACGUUGCUUCGGCGGUGCGCCCCCCCGGGGGUAGCCGCCGGAGACCACACCGAACCUCCUGUCUUUAGUGUUGUCUGAGCUUGAUAGCAAACCUAUUAAAACUUUCAACAAUGGAUCUCUUGGUUCCGGCAUCGAUGAAGAACGCAGCGAACUGCGAUAAGUAAUGUGAAUUGCAGAAUUCAGUGAAUCAUCGAGUCUUUGAACGCACAUUGCGCCCCCUGGCAUUCCGGGGGGCAUGCCUGUCCGAGCGUCAUUGCUGCCCUUCAAGCCCGGCUUGUGUGUUGGGUCGUCGUCCCCCCCGGGGGACGGGCCCGAAAGGCAGCGGCGGCACCGCGUCCGGUCCUCGAGCGUAUGGGGCUUCGUCACCCGCUCGAUUAGGGCCGGCCGGGCGCCAGCCGGCGUCUCCAACCUUCUAUUUUACCAGGUUGACCUCGGAUCAGGUAGGGAUACCCGCUGAACUUAAGCAUAUCAAUAAGCGGAGGAAAAGA
rnacentral:sRNA from 1 species